AUCAACCGAGAUUCCCCCAGUAGCGGCGAGCGAACGGGGAGGAGCCCAGAGCCUGAAUCAGUGUGUGUGUUAGUGGAAGCGUCUGGAAAGGCGCGCGAUACAGGGUGACAGCCCCGUACACAAAAAAAAUGCACAUACUGUGAGCUCGAUGAGUAGGGCGGGACACGUGGUAUCCUGUCUGAAUAUGGGGGACCAUCCUCCAAGGCUAAAUACUCCUGACUGACCGAUAGUGA
rnacentral:rRNA from 1 species